CCCCAUCCCCCUGCCUUGGCCUCCAGUGCCUGGAUUACAGAUGUGUGCCCACGCCUGGUUUAUACAGAAAUCAUCUCUUACAAGAAAAUCUCUAGAAAUCCAGGACAAGUCCCUUGCUUGGCCUUUCUGUAGGAACUCCCCGGACAAGUGCAGCUGGAGGGAAGGACCUCCCGGGACAGGAGUGAUCUCUCAAGUACGAAGUGAAGCAGCCUUCUGGCCUUCUCCCUCUUCAGAACUGCGGUCUAGGUCUUGCAGGCGCCUUCUGAAUCAGAUCUGCUGUGGCUGCGCAAUGAGAUCCCAGCUGUGCAGGAGAGAGACGCAGCAAAUGUGUGCACUAACGGGGCGAAGUCUGGGUUAUGUGCAGAAAGAGAAGUGUGGACAUCUGUCCUCAAAUACAAGGUCUCCCUACGUUGUUCAGGCUGGCUUUGAACUCACUGUGUAGUCCAGGCUGGCCUCAAACUCCUGGUGAUCCUCCUGCCUCAGCCUCCCUGGUGCUGGGAUCACAGCAGAAGUGACAAUGCCUGAUUCGUCCCUCCCAGUCCUCUGUGUUCCUGUUUCCUGGCAAGGUCAGCAGACACAAACCAUUUCUCAUGGCCUCCAUGAACACCAGCCCUGAAAGAGGCUGCAAAGAGAGGAUCCUGACCAAGGCUGUAGAAAAAGAAUCUUUCAAGAACGUAUCUAUCUAUCUAUCGAUAUACAUGCAGGCCCUGAC
rnacentral:lncRNA from 1 species